GAUGAACGCUGGCGGCGUGCCUAAUACAUGCAAGUCGAGCGAACGGACGAGAAGCUUGCUUCUCUGAUGUUAGCGGCGGACGGGUGAGUAACACGUGGAUAACCUACCUAUAAGACUGGGAUAACUUCGGGAAACCGUAGCUAAUACCGGAUAAUAUUUUGAACCGCAUGGUUCAAAAGUGAAAGACGGUCUUGCUGUCACUUAUAGAUGGAUCCGCGCUGCAUUAGCUAGUUGGUAAGGUAACGGCUUACCAAGGCAACGAUGCAUAGCCGACCUGAGAGGGGGAUCGGCCACACGGGAACUGAGACGCGGUCCAGACUCCUACGGGAGGCAGCAGUAGGGAAUCUUCGGCAAUGGGCGAAAGCCUGACGGAGCAACGCCGCGUGAGUGAUGAAGGUCUUCGGAUCGUAAAACUCUGUUAUUAGGGAAGAACAUAUGUGUAAGUAACUGUGCACAUCGUGACGGUACCUAAUCAGAAAGCCACGGCUAACUACGUG
rnacentral:rRNA from 1 species